rnacentral:rRNA from 1 species
CAGUCGCCACGGGAAUACGGAGGGGGCUAGCGUUGUUCGGAAUUACUGGGCGUAAAGCGCACGUAGGCGGCUUGGUAAGUUAGAGGUGAAAGCCUGGAGCUCAACUCCAGAAUUGCCUUUAAGACUGCCGAGCUAGCAGGUGAGAGAGGUAAGUGGAAUUCCGAGUGUAGAGGUGAAAUUCGUAGAUAUUCGGAAGAACACCAGUGGCGAAGGCGGCUUACUGGCUCAUACUGGACGCUGAGGUGCGAAAGCGUGGGGAGCAAACAGGAUUAGAGACCCCAGUAGUCCCUGUCUCUUAUAC